AAAAAAGGCGUUUCUUAUCCCAUUGAGUGUUCCACGGCGGCGCGGCGUGCCUCCAUCCCCUCCGGCCUCUCCCCCCGACCCCGGCGGCACAGGCGGCCUUCAAGUUCCGGCCGGUGUCGGAGACGAAACGGCCUAUAUAUAGAUGGAGGAGAGGGCGGAGGAGAUCGAUCUGAGCAAGCCGAGGUUGCGCACGAUGGGGAGAAAGCUACCCCCUUCUGCUCCGGCCACGACGCGGACUCCGGCGACGGGAAGGCGGCGCAAAGGCCCCUCCUUGGCCCCGCUCUCCGCCUGCAAGCGCCGGCGGACCCCUGAGGCUAGCGGCUGGGCUUCCCUCCCCACCGAUAUAGUCCACCUUGUCGCCAGCCGCCUGCUGACCGGCGACGUGGUGGACUACAUCGUCUUCCGGGCCGUCUGCUCCGGCUGGCGCAGCUGCACGGGCCAAGUGAAUGGAAGAGAGACCAAUGAUCAAGAGUAAAUCUGUGUAUAUCAAUGAUGACAAGUUACAUUUUUA